rnacentral:rRNA from 1 species
UACGAAGGGGGCUAGCGUUGUUCGGAAUUACUGGGCGUAAAGCGCGCGCAGGCGGUCUUCCAAGUCAGGGGUGAAAUCCUGGAGCUCAACUCCAGAACUGCCUUUGAUACUGAGGAUCUUGAGUUCGGGAGAGGUGAGUGGAACUGCGAGUGUAGAGGUGAAAUUCGUAGAUAUUCGCAAGAACACCAGUGGCGAAGGCGGCUCACUGGCCCGAUACUGACGCUGAGGCACGAAAGCGUGGGGAGCAAACAGG